AGAGUUUGAUCAUGGCUCAGGGCUAACGCUGGCGGCGUGUCUUAGCCAUGCAAGUCGAGCGGACUUAUGGGGUAACUUAUAAGUCAGCGGCGGACGGCGGAGUAACACGUAGCUAACCUACCCUCUGGACGGGGAUAACCUACCGAAAGGUGGGCUAAUACCCGAUGUAGUCAUCCUGUAUAGGGGUGAUGAAAGGUGGGCUUCUGUUUACAAGCUCAUGCUGGAGGAGGGGGCUGCGGCCUAUCAGGUAGUUGGUAGGGUAAUAGCCUACCAAGCCGAUGACGGGUAGCCGGCCUGAGAGGGUGACCGGCCCGAGGGGCACUGAGAUACGGGUCCCACUCCUACGGGAGGCAGCAGGCUAGAAAUUUGGGCAAUGGGGGAAACCCUGACCCAGUGACGCCGCGUGCAGGAAGGAGCCCUUCGGGGUGUAAACUGCUGUCGUGUAGGGAGAAGGGUACUAAGGUGAACAAUCUUAGUACUUGACGGUACUACAGGAGGAAGCCCAGGCUAACCUCGUGCCAGCAGCCGCGGUAAUACGGGGUGGGCGAGCGUUGCCCGGAAUUACUGGGUUUAAAGGGGGUGUAGGCGGUCUGGAUAGUCGGGUGUGUAAUGCAAUCGCUCAACGAUUGAGCUGCAUCUGAUACUUCCAGGCUAGAGGGCGGUAGAGGAGAGCGGAACUCCCGGUGUAGCGGUGGAAUGCGUAGAUAUCGGGAGGAACGCCGGUGGCGAAGGCGGCUCUCUGGGCCGUUCCUGACGCUGAGGCCCGAAAGCUGGGGGAGCGAAAGGGAUUAGAUACCCCUGUAGUCCCAGCCGUAAACGAUGGGCACUAGGUGUACCUUUUAACGGAGGUAUACCGUCGGGAAACCAAUAAGUGCCCCACCUGGGGAGUACGCCCGCAAGGGUGAAACUCAAAUGAAUUGACGG
rnacentral:rRNA from 1 species